rnacentral:rRNA from 1 species
CGCCUGUUUAUCAAAAACAUCACCUCUAGCAUCACCAGUAUUAGAGGCACCGCCUGCCCAGUGACACAUGUUUAACGGCCGCGGUACCCUAACCGUGCAAAGGUAGCAUAAUCACUUGUUCCUUAAAUAGGGACCUGUAUCGCCUGUUUAUCAAAAACAUAGCCCUAAGAAUUUAUUUAGGGUGAAGCCUGCCCAAUGAGUUUUAAAUGGCCGCGGUACUCUGACCGUGCUAAGGUAGCAUAAUCAAUUGACUUUUGAAUGAAGUCUGGAAUGAAAGGAAUAACGGGGCUUAGCUGUCUCUAUUUUUUUAUUUUAAAGUUACUAAUUAGGUGAAAAGGCCUAAAUAAGAUAAUAGACGAGAAGACCCUUAGAGCUUUGUAUAUAUUUUCGUUGGGGCGACGAAGGGUUAAAAUAAACACCCUUGUUAUCAUACAAAGGGUUCACCAUAAGCAGAUAAGCUACCUGAGGGAUAACAGCAUAAUCUUUUUUAGGUUUGUGACCUCGAUGUUGGACUAGGGAACUUUUAGGUUAGCCGCUUAAAGGAAUAAUUCUGUUCGAAUAUUACCCCCUACGUGAUCUGAGUUCAGACCGGAAUCCUAUUCUAGAGUCCAUAUCAACAAUAGGGUUUACGACCUCGAUGUUGGAUCAGGACAUCCCGAUGGUGCAGCCGCUAUUAAAGGUUCGUUUGUUCAACGAUUAAAGUCCUACGUGAUCUGAGUUCAGACCGGA